UACAGGAGGCCCGAGCGUUAGUCGGAAUCACUGGGCUUAAAGGGUGCGUAGGCUGACCGGUAAGUAUCUCGUGAAAUACCUCGGCUCAACCGAGGAACUGCGGGGUAAACUGCCGGUCUUGAGGGAGGUAGGGGUUGCUGGAACGCUCGGUGGAGCGGUGAAAUGCGUAGAGAUCGAGCGGAACGCCGAAGGUGAAGACAAGCAACUGGGCCUCUCCUGACGCUGAGGCACGAAAGCGUGGGGAGCAAACAGGAUUAGAUACCCUGGUAGUCCACGCCGUAAACGAUGCGCACUAGACCGAUGCAGGUCUGACCCUGUGUUGGUCGGAGAGAAAUUGUUAAGUGCGCCGCCUGGGAAGUACGGUCGCAAGGCUA
rnacentral:rRNA from 1 species